rnacentral:rRNA from 1 species
AUUGAACGCUGGCGGCAGGCCUAACACAUGCAAGUCGAGCGGAGCGGCGAACGGGUGAGUAACACGUGGGUGACCUGCCCUGCCCUUCGGGAUAAGCUUGGGAAACUGGGUCUAAUACCGGAUAGUGUGGGAUGGGCCCGCGGCCUAUCAGCUUGUUGGUGGGGUAUUGGCCUACCAAGGCGGCGACGGGUAGCCGGCCUGAGAGGGUGGACGGCCACAUUGGGACUUGGACACGGGCCAGACUCGUACGGGAGGCAGCAGUGGGGAAUAUUGCACAAUGGGCGGAAGCCUGGUGCAGCGACGCGGCGUGGGGGAUGGCGGCCUGCGGGGUGUAGACGCCUUCCUCCAUCGACGCGGUAGAUGGAGAAGAAGCACCGGCUAACUACGUGCCAGCAGCCGCGGUAAUUC